AGCGAACGCUGGCGGCAGGCCUAAAACAUGCAAGUCGAACGCACCUUCGGGUGAGUGGCGGACGGGUGAGUAACGCGUGGGAACGUGCCCUUUGGUUCGGAACAACUCAGGGAAACUUGAGCUAAUACCGGAUGUGCCCUUCGGGGGAAAGAUUUAUCGCCAUUGGAGCGGCCCGCGUUGGAUUAGGUAGUUGGUGGGGUAAAGGCCCACCAAGCCUACGAUCCAUAGCUGGUCUGAGAGGAUGAUCAGCCACAUUGGGACUGAGACACGGCCCAAACUCCUACGGGAGGCAGCAGUUAGGAAUCUUGGGCAAUGGGCGAAAGCCUGACCCAGCCAUGCCGCGUGAAUGAUGAAGGUCCUAGGAUUGUAAAAUUCUUUCACCGGGGAAGAUAAUGACGGUACCCGGAGAAGAAGCUCCGGCUAACUUCGUGCCAGCAGCCGCAGUAAAAC
rnacentral:rRNA from 1 species